GAUGAACGCUGGCGGCGUGCCUAAUACAUGCAAGUCGAGCGAACAGACGAGGAGCUUGCUCCUUUGACGUUAGCGGCGGACGGGUGAGUAACACGUAGGUAACCUACCUAUAAGACUGGGAUAACUUCGGGAAACCGGAGCUAAUACCGGAUAAUAUUUCGAACCGCAUGGUUCGAUAGUGAAAGAUGGCUUUACUAUCACUUAUAGAUGGACCUGCGCCGUAUUAGCUAGUUGGUAAGGUAACGGCAUACCAAGGCAACGAUACGUAGCCGACCUGAGAGGGUGAUCGGCCACACUGGAACUGAGACACGGUCCAGACUCCUACGGGAGGCAGCAGUAGGGAAUCUUCCGCAAUGGGCGAAAGCCUGACGGAGCAACGCCGCGUGAGUGAUGAAGGUCUUCGGAUCGUAAAACUCUGUUAUUAGGGAAGAACAAACGUGUAAGUAACUGUGCACGUCUUGACGGUACCUAAUCAGAAAGCCACGGCUAACUACGUG
rnacentral:rRNA from 1 species